rnacentral:rRNA from 1 species
UACGUAGGGGGCAAGCGUUGUCCGGAAUCAUUGGGCGUAAAGCGCGUGUAGGCGGCCAGGUAAGUCCGUUCUGAAAGCCCGGGGCUCAACCCCGCGCUUGCAUUCGAUACGGGCAGGCUCGGAGUUCGGUAGGGGAGACUGGAAUCCUGGUGUAGGCGGUGAAAUGCGCAGAGUAUCAGGAGGAACACCGGUGGCGAAGGCGGUUCUCUGGACCAGCACUGACACUGAGGCACG